UUGACAGAAAUGAACAGUGUGCCGUCCACGAGCGGAUUCAAAACAACUUCAAAACUUGACUCAGCGUUCCAGCUGAAUUGGGAUCGACUGCUCUGACCGGCUACCGAUGUUAGCACAGUUGGCUAAUGACUUUGUAUUCAAGCUAAACCUUAACAAUCAGAAACAAAAGCGACGCUGCCCAUUCACAGAUCAAUAUCUGUCCAGCUACCUUGCUCUACUCCAAAACAAUGUGGAUAUGAUGACCUCUCUACCAGAAAGUGUCAGUCUUGCGCUCUCUAUGCAGUCUGCAUGUGGAGAAGCUACACUGGUUCAGCCAACUCUACCCUCUCACCGUCCACUCACUCUUUCCUCCACUUUACAAGGAGCUGUUCGCCCCUGACUCAGACCAGACAUCUGUGGCCACACUCUGAACUCCACCAUACAUGGAGACAGAAAACAUUCUGCAAGCAAAAUAUGCAUACAGUAGUAGACAGAUACACGCACUUACAAACAGACACAUACAUACAUUCAUACAUACAUAUGCAUGAUUACAUGGAUUUCUUUAUUUGUUGAAUAUAUAUAUUUUUGUAUAUUCAGAGAGCAAAGGAACAAAAUCAUCUGAAUAACCUAGUAGAUAUUCAAUUUGGUCAUGCAGAAACUAAUUUACAGAUUAGGAUGGUACACAAAUAUUCAGGCAUUUCAAAUUGAUCGUAUGAAAAUGUGUUAUUUCUGAGUUGUACUUUUUUUUUUUCCUUCAGUGUAAUCUCAGUGUAGACUAUCUGUGUUAUUUUGUCUCAGGGUGAUGUUUUGACUGUAACCAGAUCAGUGUGUAGAUGGUGUAAAUGAUCAUAUUCAGAUUGUCACUAUGCAGCUGGACAACAUGCAUAUAUAACAGUAUGAAUUCUUAUGUGUGUGUUCUGAGUGGUUGGCUAACCCAUCAGAUUGAAUGAGUUAUAGCCCCUGGCCCACUUUUCAGGGCACAAAUACAGUGUAGCCUUCACAAUAAACUGUUUGUGGAUCAGGUUUGACCAACUCUGCUGUCUCUAUCAUAAUGAGCUUUAAGUGUGCGUUUGUGUUGCAUUAAAACAAUGACACAGAUCCUAGACAAGCGGAAAU